rnacentral:rRNA from 1 species
UACGAAGGGGAGCUAGCGUUGCUCGGAAUCACUGGGCGUAAAGGGUGCGUAGGCGGGUCUUAAGUCAGGGGUGAAAUCCUGGAGCUCAACUCCAGAACUGCCUUUGAUACUGAGGAGCUUGAGUCCGGGAGAGGUGAGUGGAACUCCGAGUGUAGAGGUGAAAUUCGUAGAUAUUCGGAAGAACACCAGUGGCGAAGGCGGCUCACUGGCCGGUACUGACGCUGAGGUGCGAAAGCGUGGGGAGCAAACAGGG